rnacentral:lncRNA from 1 species
AAAUCCUACCCGAAGUAUCAAGACCUAGACCUACAAUUAAAAAAAAAAAAGAACGGCGGCAAUAUACAAUACAAAGCCCUUUUUCACGUCUUUUUCUUCAAAGUUUGAACAGAGAAACCAAAAAUAAUGGCCUCCCUUCUAGAUUUGCUUCAGCCUUUUGAACACCACAGACCCUUCCCCAACGAUGUCAUCUUCCUUAAACCCAAACAACCCCCUUCUUUCAAGUUUGAAUCACUUCUGAACUCCAGCCAAAAAGUCAGCAAAACCAGCCAUGAAAAUAGCUUCAAAACCAGUUGUGUAAACUCACCAUUCUCGCCAUCAAAGCAACGUGAAACAGCCCGAAACAUCUCCAAAAUCAUGAGCUACUGUUAUGGAGGCCGUUGGGUUCAUUUUCUGAUUUAGUUUGAUAUUUACCAUGAUUAUUGUGAUAUUUUUCAGUUGUGAUUUGAUUGAAAUUAAUAAUUCAUCAUAGUUUUUGUUGGUUUUAAUCAUCUGGUUUUGCAUUCUCGUUGAAAUAUUAGCUCGGCUUGUUUCUGGUUUUUGCAUUCUCGCUGCAUUUCUCCUGAAUUCAGCAUGUUGCGAAGGUUUUCUUUUUCUUUAAUCCCUCUUGAUUAAUCAAAAGUUGCUUCCAUGUGUUU